rnacentral:rRNA from 1 species
CUACGGGCUGCUCCAGUGGGGAAUAUUGCACAAUGGGCGAAAGCCUGAUGCAGCCAUGCCGCGUGUGUGAAGAAGGCCUUAGGGUUGUAAAGCACUUUCAGUGGGGAGGAAAGGUUAGUAGUUAAUACCUGCUAGCUGUGACGUUACCCACAGAAGAAGGACCGGCUAAUUCCGUGCCAGCAGCCGCGGUAAUACGGAGGGUCCGAGCGUUAAUCGGAAUUACUGGGCGUAAAGCGCACGUAGGCGGCUAGGUCAGUUGGGUGUGAAAGCCCCGGGCUCAACCUGGGAACUGCAUCCAAUACUGCCUGGCUAGAGUACGAGAGAGGGGGGUAGAAUUUCUAGUGUAGCGGUGAAAUGCGUAGAUAUUAGAAGGAAUACCAGUGGCGAAGGCGGCCCCCUGGCUCGAUACUGACGCUGAGGUGCGAAAGCGUGGGGAGCAAACAGGAUUAGAUACCCCCGUAGUC